GAAAGCGGGCUAGCCUGCACGCACGCCAAGAUGGAGCUCCAGGCUAGCCCACAGAACAGCCCAGCCGCAGCCGUCCUACCAGACCAGCACCUUGUAACCACAGUCUAACCCAGCGGGCACCAGGCGAUUGUGAGUGCCACGGGGCUGAGGCCUGCGCCGACCUGGUCUGCUGGUGCUACCAGGCUUGAACAGUCUUCAAAUCCACUGCUAUUAGGCAAAUUACCUGGCUCCCGCUGAACUCCAGCACCUAGAACUAUGUCACACUCGUAGUAGGCCGCUGCAUUGGUUGAACAAAUGAUUUUGAAAGAAUGAAUGUCUUCCUCUGUGCCUGCAUUUCCUCAGAAGGCUGUAACAAAGAUUAAAUAGGAAAAUUCGUGGAAAGUUCAAUUAC
rnacentral:lncRNA from 1 species